UACGAGGGGGGCAAGCGUUGUUCGGAAUUAUUGGGCGUAAAGGGCGCGUAGGCGGUGCGGUAAGUCACCUGUGAAACCUCUAGGCUUAACCUAGAGCCUGCAGGCGAAACUGCCGUGCUUGAGGGUGGGAGAGGUGCGUGGAAUUCCCGGUGUAGCGGUGAAAUGCGUAGAUAUCGUAAGGAAGACCAGUGGCGAAGGCGGGUCUCUGGACAGUUCCUGACGCUGAGGCACGAAGGUCAGGGGAGCAAACGGG
rnacentral:rRNA from 1 species